rnacentral:tRNA from 1 species
GGCCUCAUCGUCUAGCGGUUAGGACACUGGGUUCUCAUCCCAGCAACCGGGGUUCGAUUCCCCGUGAGGUCACCA